CCUACGGGUGGCAGCAGUGAGGAAUAUUGGUCAAUGGGCGAGAGCCUGAACCAGCCAAGUCGCGUGAAGGAUGACGGCCCUACGGGUUGUAAACUUCUUUUGUCAGGGAGCAAUUGAGUCCACGUGUGGUGUUAGCGAGAGUACCUGAAGAAAAAGCAUCGGCUAACUCCGUGCCAGCAGCCGCGGUAAUAUGGAGGAUGAGGGCGUUAUCCGGAUUUAUUGGGUUUAAAGGGUGCGUAGGCGGAAUAUCAAGUCAGCGGGAAAAAUUCGGGGCUCAACCCCGUCGUGCCGUUGAAACUGAGGUUCUUGAGUGGGCGAGAGGGAUGCGGAAUGAGUGGUGUAGCGGUGAAAUGCAUAGAUAUUAGGAGGAACACCAGUGGCGAAGGCGGCUUACUGGACUGUAACUGACGUUGAGGCUCGAAAGCGUGGGGAGCAAACAGGAUUAGAUACCCGAGGAGUC
rnacentral:rRNA from 1 species